UUGUUGUUGUUUUUUGCAAAGCUGCUUUGUAUAGGUAGAGCAGGUUUUUUUUUCCCAGGUCGUGAAACAUCCCAAACGCAGGGAAUAGAGCAGAAUACAGAGAAAAGUGCAAAAAUGAAUUUGUACAGAUUCAUUUUUGACUCCGACUUACCACAUAGGAGGUAAUCUUCUGCUUUCUGUUCUUUUUUUUUUAAUUCCGGAAGUCAAGCGGUAUUCUUCCUUUGCUCGUAUUUUGUGCAACUUGUUUAACUUGCGAUUCCCUGUACUUUCCCCUCAGAUAAAGCUGAGGGGAGACGAGGAGUCACCACUUUCGACGCCAGACGACUGAUUCGGUCCAGUACGGCUGUAGCAGCCCAGUUUAAUCCCAGUUCCUACAGACAAUCAGCCGGCGCUCGGCUGCCUUGUCGUCCUGUGCGUUACCUACAGAUACAGGUGUCUAUUGUGCAUGUAAUUAAAAUCAUCCUUAACCGGAACAAUGGGACAGGAGACGGACACAGGAGCGCUGUGGGAAGAGCUCUGGAGCAGCCGAAGACGGAGCACGCCGUUAAGCCCCAGGUAACGGCUGUGGCUGGCUGCACACGAGAGCUCUGCCUCGGCGGACCACACGGCCACCCCGAGGUCCUCAAAUGCAAUGAAAAGCCUUUUAGGACUGGCCUGGAAGAAUACCCACCGCCUGCUUCUAAACAGCGUCUUACUUAUUCAUCCAGCAAGGAACCAACCCCAAACCGCCCAAGUAUUCCGGUGCCAUCUGAGAAAUGAUUUCCACAAUUCACAGUUCACCAAGGUUAGCUUCUGCACCGAAAGACACUGAAUUCCGUGCGACUCGUUUUUAUGCCAAUAAAAUAUUGAACUAAAA